GCGAGUCGAGAGGGUUCGGCCCUCGGCAGACUGCUCAGUAACACGUGGAUAAUCUACCCUUAGGUGGAGGAUACUCUCGGGAAACUGAGAAUAAUACCCCAUAGAUCCAGGAUGCUGGAAUGCACCUAGAUUGAAAGUUCCGGCGCCUAAGGAUGAGUCUGCGGACUAUCAGGUAGUAGUCAGGGUAAAGACCUGACUAGCCUACGACGGAUACGGGUUGUGAGAGCAAUAGCCCGGAGACGAUAUCUGAGACACGAUAUCGGGCCCUACGGGGCGCAGCAGGCGCGAAAUCUUCACAAUGUGCGAAAGCACGAUGAGGGGAUCCCAAGUGUUGGUUCGUAAGAAUCAUCUGUUUCUUUGUCUAAAAAACAGAGAGAGUAAGAGCUGGGUAAGACGGGUGCCAGCCGCCGCGGUAAUACCUGCAGCUCAAGUGGUGGCCGCUAUUAUUGGGCCUAAAACGUCCGUAGCCGGUUUAGUAAAUGCUUGGGUAAAUUGUGUAGCUCAACUAUACGAAUACCGAGUAGACUGCUGAACUUGGGACCGGGAGAGGCUAGAGGUACUCCUAGGGUAGAGGUGAAAUUCUGUAAUCCUAGGGGGACCACCAGUGGCGAAGACGUCUAGCUAGAACGGGUCUGACGGUGAGGGACGAAGCCCUGGGGCGCAAACCGGAUUAGAUACCCGGGUAGUCCAGGGUGUAAACGCUGCUCGCUUGAUGUUAGUUGGGCUCCGAGCCCAACUAGUGUCGGAG
rnacentral:rRNA from 1 species